rnacentral:misc_RNA from 1 species
GAUGAAGAACGCAGCGAAAUGCGAUAAGUAAUGUGAAUUGCAGAAUUCAGUGAAUCAUCGAAUCUUUGAACGCACGUUGCGCCCGUCAGUAUUCUGGCGGGCAUGCCUGUUCGAGCGUCAUUACGCCCCUCAAGUCCCCUGUGGACUUGGUGUUGGGGAUCGGCGAGGCUGGUUUUCCAGCACAGCCGUCCCUUAAAUUAAUUGGCGGUCUCGCCGUGGCCCUCCUCUGCGCAGUAGUAAAACACUCGCAACAGGAGCCCGGCGCGGUCCACUGCCGUAAAACCCCCCAACUUUUUAUAGUUGACCUCGAAUCAGGUAGGACUACCCGCUGAACUUAAGCAUAUCAAUAAGCGGAGGA